rfam:Vibrio sp. N418 VIBRN418_24, whole genome shotgun sequence.
UAUCACCAAGGAUUGUCUUUCUCGCAACAUUUUUCCUGUGAGAAGAAGAAGGGAAUCAAACUUGAACAACCUCGUUCAGGUGCGAAUCAAAUUAUAAAAGGAAGUG